rnacentral:rRNA from 1 species
AAAGGAAUAGACGGGGACCCGCACAAGCGGUGGAGCAUGUGGUUUAAUUCGACGAUACGCGAAAAACCUUACCUGGUCUUGACAUAGUAAGAACUUUCCAGAGAUGGAUUGGUGCUAGCUUGCUAGAACUUACAUACAGGUGCUGCACGGCUGUCGUCAGCUCGUGUCGUGAGAUGUUGGGUUAAGUCCCGCAACGAGCGCAACCCUCGUGUUUAGUUGCUAACAGUUCGGCUGAGAACUCUAAACAGACUGCCUACGUAAGUAGGAGGAAGGUGAGGACGACGUCAAGUCAUCAUGGCCCUUAUGACCAGGGCUACACACGUGCUACAAUGGGGUAUACAGAAAGCUGCGAUACAGUGAUGUGGAGCAAAUCUCAAAAAUACCUCUCAGUUCGGAUUGUAGUCUGCAACUCGACUACAUGAAGUUGGAAUCGCUAGUAAUCGUGGAUCAGCAAUGCCACGGUGAAUACGUUCCCGGGUCUUGUACACACCGCCCGU